GGCACUAUAGCCAAGUGGUUACGGCGACAGAUUCGAAUGAAUUCGGUUAUCUGUUUCCCUUUGGGAGCCUGGGUUCAAAUCCCAGUGGUGUCG
rfam:Laetiporus sulphureus 93-53 unplaced genomic scaffold LAESTscaffold_4, whole genome shotgun sequence.